rnacentral:rRNA from 1 species
UACGAAGGGGGCUAGCGUUGCUCGGAAUCACUGGGCGUAAAGGGUGCGUAGGCGGGUUUUUAAGUCAGGGGUGAAAUCCUGGAGCUCAACUCCAGAACUGCCUUUGAUACUGAAGAUCUUGAGUCCGGGAGAGGUGAGUGGAACUGCGAGUGUAGAGGCGAAAUUCGUAGAUAUUCGCAAGAACACCAGUGGCGAAGGCGGCUCACUGGCCCGGUACUGACGCUGAGGCACGAAAGCGUGGGGAGCAAACAGG